CAAACUUAGUACUGCCCACAGGGUUUUACAGAACAACCAAUAACACACGUACAUUACACACAUACACUCCCACACAACAUCCUCCCCUCUGCCUGUGAUAUGAUUACUGAACACAAUGGUUAAUCUAAUUAUCACAGGCAGAGAAAUACAGUGUUAUAAAACAUAUCACAGGGACCCCAAAACAUGCAAUAACCCCAUAAAAAAUAUGGAACCGGGGGAUCUGGGUGAACCACAUAUCCAAAAUUCACCCAGAUCCGUUCAGUAGUUUGGAAGAUGCAGUUUAAUGCAGAUUCCGCAGAACAUAUACAGGCUAUAUGAAAAAUAAUAACUGUAUAAUGUGUCCCCUGUUGUAUGGUUUAAAACUACUGAACGAUGUCUUCGUGCACCAAAUACUGGCGAGAUGGCACCAUGUAGAAAAGUCCAAACAGUGUCUGUUAGUUAAAAUGGCC